rnacentral:rRNA from 1 species
GAUGAACGCUGGCGGCGUGCCUAAUACAUGCAAGUCGAGCGAACAGACGAGGAGCUUGCUCCUUUGACGUUAGCGGCGGACGGGUGAGUAACACGUGGGUAACCUACCUAUAAGACUGGGAUAACUUCGGGAAACCGGAGCUAAUACCGGAUAAUAUUUCGAACCGCAUGGUUCGAUAGUGAAAGAUGGCUUUGCUAUCACUUAUAGCUGGACCUGCGCCGUAUUAGCUAGUUGGUAAGGUAACGGCUUACCAAGGCAACGAUACGUAGCCGACCUGAGAGGGUGAUCGGCCACACUGGAACUGAGACACGGUCCAGACUCCUACGGGAGGCAGCAGUAGGGAAUCUUCCGCAAUGGGCGAAAGCCUGACGGAGCAACGCCGCGUGAGUGAUGAAGGUCUUCGGAUCGUAAAACUCUGUUAUUAGGGAAGAAUAAACGUGUAAGUAACUGUGCACGUCUUGACGGUACCUAAUCAGAAAGCCACGGCUAACUACGUG